CCUACGGGUGGCAGCAGUGGGGGAUAUUGCACAAUGGGGGAAACCCUGAUGCAGCGACGCCGCGUGGGUGAAGGAGUGUUUCGGCGCGUAAACCUCUAUCGGCAGGGAAGAAGAUGACGGUACCUGACUAAGAAGCCCCGGCUAACUACGUGCCAGCAGCCGCGGUAAUACGUAGGGGGCAAGCGUUAUCCGGAUUUACUGGGUGUAAAGGGGGCGCAGGCGGCGAUGCAAGCCAGGAGUGAACGCCCGGGGCUCAACCCCGGGACUGCUUUUGAAACUGGAUGGCUGGAGUGCAGGAGAGGCAAGGGGAAUGCCUAGUGUAGCGGUGAAAUGCGUAGAUAUUAGGAGGAACACCAGUGGCGAAGGCGGCCUGCUGGACUGUAACUGACGUUGAGGCUCGAAAGCGUGGGGAGCAAACAGGAUUAGAUACCCCUGUAGUC
rnacentral:rRNA from 1 species